rnacentral:rRNA from 1 species
AUUGAACGCUGGCGGCAGGCUUAACACAUGCAAGUCGAGCGGAAACGAUGGUAGCUUGCUACCAGGCGUCGAGCGGCGGACGGGUGAGUAAUACUUAGGAAUCUACCUAGUAGUGGGGGAUAGCUCGGGGAAACUCGAAUUAAUACCGCAUACGACCUACGGGAGAAAGGGGGCAGUUUACUGCUCUCGCUAUUAGAUGAGCCUAAGUCGGAUUAGCUAGAUGGUGGGGUAAAAGCCUACCAUGGCGACGAUCUGUAGCUGGUCUGAGAGGAUGAUCAGCCACACCGGGACUGAGACACGGCCCGGACUCCUACGGGAGGCAGCAGUGGGGAAUAUUGGACAAUGGGGGCAACCCUGAUCCAGCCAUGCCGCGUGUGUGAAGAAGGCCUUUUAGUUGUAAAGCACUUUAAGCAGUGAAGAAGACUCCAUGGUUAAUACCCAUGGACGAUGACAUUAGCUGCAGAAUAAGCACCGGCUAACUCUGUGCCAGUAGCCGCGGUAAUACAGAGGGUGCAAGCGUUAAUCGGAAUUACUGGGCGUAAAGCGAGCGUAGGUGGCUUGAUAAGUCAGAUGUGAAAUCCCCGGGCUUAACCUGGGAACUGCAUCUGAUACUGUUAGGCUAGAAUAGGUGAGAGGAAGGUAGAAUUCCAGGUGUAGCGGUGAAAUGCGUAGAGAUCUGGAGGAAUACCGAUGGCGAAGGCAGCCUUCUGGCAUCAUAUUGACACUGAGGUUCGAAAGCGUGGGUAGCAAACAGG